CCGUCGAAAUGCCGCCGCCGGCCGCCUCUCGGCCCUCCUCCGCCGGUGCGCGGCAGGCGGAGCGCUUUCUCCGGGCGUGCAGUUUCACACGCAGGCCCUGGUCGGUGGACGGUGGGUGCCUUCCGGAGUCCGGACGCCACCCUGGACACCGACCUCGUCCAGCUCUUCUGCCGCUGCGGGGCGCUCCAUCGCGCAUGCCAGGUGCUCGAUGCAAUGCCCUCGCCUUCCAUGCACGCGUACAACGUCCUCCUGGAGGCGUAUCCACCCGUCGCGUCGCUGCAACUACUCGCGCGCCUCCUCGCCGCGGAACACCGGCCCGGCAGCGAGCCGCUGGACAUGUACGCCAAAGCUGGGAUGUUGGACGACGGCAUGACACUGAGAGUGUUCGACGAGAUGCCUGAGAGGGACUCUGUCUGUUGUAUGGUUACUGGGUAUGCGAGGGCCGGGAGACCAGCGGAGGCAUUGGAUCUUUGCAGGAGGGGGCAGGUUGAGGCCAUGAACAUAGAGAAUGAUCUACAUGCAGUGCCGAGUGUGCGCAAUGUCUGUGCAAAGGAAGGGGACCUGAUGAAGGGAAUGGGAGAUCCAUGUCAGGAUGGUGUGGUGCCUUGCUUUUGAUUCGGACGUUGCUGUGUGGAAUGCGUUAGUUGACAUGUAUGCAAAGUGUGGGCGUGUGGACGCCCUGCAGGCUGUAUCUGCAGCCAUGAAGGAGACUAAUGUGCUGAGCUGGUUGACAUUGAUUUCUUGUUAUGGUGUCCAUGGCAUGGGGAAGAAGCAUUGAAGAUUUAUGACGAUAUGGUGUCCAUAGGGGUGAAGACGGAUUGUAUCACGUUCACUUCCAUCCUGUCCGGUUGCAGCCAUUCAGGGCUUGUGAGUGAUGGUCGGAGCAUCUUUGAGUCAAUGGGCAAGGUUCAUGGUACCAUUAUGCAUGUAUGGUUGACCUCUUGGGGUGUGCUGGAGCCAUUGAAGAAGCUGUCGAGUUCAUAAGGAAGAUGCCUAUGGAGUCCGGUGCCAGUGUGUGGGGAGCGUUGCUCUCUGCUUGUGCAUUCCAUAAGAAUGUUGAUGCUGGGGAGUGAGGAGAUGGCAGCUUAUAGGCUGUUUUGAGUUAGAAGAAGGCAAUGCUAGCAACUAUGUUACUCUUGGUGGUAUUUAUGAUGCAGUUGGUCGGUAUGAUUAUGUUGCAGGCUUGAGGUCAAGGAUGUGGGAACUUGGCAUGGUGAAGACACCUGGUUGCAGUUGGGUUGAUGUGAAGGGAAGAGCCUGUGCCUUCCACCAAGGAAGCAUUCUAUGCUUUCUGAGGAGGCGCAUGCUCAGGUUUAGAUUGGUUACUUGGGGAUAUGGGUGCUUCAGAAUCAGAAGAUGAAUAUCUGAGCUGUGAGCUAAUUGGCACUGAAUUUGUGAUGGUCCAGUGUUGAUAGAGUCAGUUUGGUUUGAUGCAAAAGCAACUGAUUUUUCUUGAUUGCUGCUGUGCUUCAAUAAAAAGUAUGAUAUGCAGCAAAGAAUUUCAAUGUGCUGGUCUGCCAAGUGCUGGAGGACUUGGAACCAUUAAUGAACAGAUCCAGAGUACCAUGCUGAAUCAUGAAGUGCUUGGGUGGGAGAACGAAGGAUGAUUCAUUCAAGGCAAGAAAUUUCUGCUCCAAUUUGGCUACACAACAGGUCGCGCAAACCAAGUGGUUCUUAACAUUGUGAUAAAAUUAAAGGGAAGAGAACUGAUAAACUUCUCCAAAUAGCAGUUCACAAUCAUUCAAUGAGUCAAUUAGAGCAAGGUCAAUGUUACUUCUAGCCACCAUGAGAAGUUAUUAUUCACAAGAGAUGUGCAGAGUAUCAAUCCCUCCAAGCAUAGAAAUGAGUUCAUGGGCCUUAGAGGGAAUCAUGCAUUGUUUUUCAGUGAAGAUCUGGGCAUAAAUCUAGAGAAAGGACUUUUUUUUUUGUCACAAACACAUUAUAUAUUGUUCACACACUUUGUUGUUGGCCAGUGAUAACCAACGGGGCGGUCCAAAGAAGAUGCAGUGUUCUAUGUAAAAAAAUAAAAUAAAAAAAAAACUCGACCACAGGAGGAGACUCCCCCAGGCUUUGUUUUAAGAAGGUGCCAAGCUUCUCGCGGUGGAUCGGUUAGAGUGUUGAACUCUCCGGGAAUUGUUGAAACUUUUGAUUCAGUUUUUAUACAUAUGGUGUGGCCUUGCAAAAGCAAGGAUGGAAAAGGUGCCAACCAUUAUCAACUGCAAAUUGCUUAAUCAGGCACCUUUUUGGCACCAUUCAGCAGUGGCUUUCCCUGAAUUCACUUCAUGACAACCAUUUAGUACUGCCAACACCAAAUUAUAUGAUUUUCUACAUUUUUUUAAUCUAAACAAAUGAUUAGUAUGAUUUAUGGCUGGACAACUAUUGAGUUGAAGAAUAUGCAACACAAACAAUAGAAAAUAUGAGUCUAGAGUACUAAGUUCGCAAUAAAGCAUAUGCGUAUGUGUAAUAGUAAAUUUCGGAAUUUUCUUUCGUUCGCCACUGAAAUUACCAAAUUCCAUGAAAUUUCAGCGAAAUUUCACCAAAAUUGGGAACCCUGCUGCCAAAAACAAGGAUUGUUUUUCCCAGUUGUUACUGUCAGCUUUUGGCCUUCCGGGAGCAUGGAGACAUCCAGCUUCCAUGCUAUGUGCUCUCUCCAGGUAUUAACCUAUCAUUUCAUUGCAUUCUCCAUGCCCUCCAAUGCAGAUAAGCCUCUUAUCAUCUUACUCCAGAUUCAGAUUUACUUUCUGGACCAUGUGUUGCACACUGAUCAUGCAUAAUUUAUUCAGAAAAAGAAUUCUAGUUAUGGAAAGGAAAUGCCUCUGCCAACUGAAACUGUUGUUAAUCAAGCUUAACACAGCAUUAAGAAGGUAACUCUACUGCAGAAGUUUGUAUCUUGUCCUGACAAUAGAACUUGUGGAUCAAGAUUCAUGAUGUUACAUUCAUUGAAAAUAAGAUUCAUUGCUUACCAUGUCCGGUAUAUCAUUAGCAGAAAUGCUAACCCCCAAGUACAAGAAGCAUCAUAACAGUUGGACGACCAUUCUUUUCAAUGAAUGACCCUUUGCCAUCCUUUCCAAUGAACAAGUCUCCCAUCCUUUUAAUACUAGUGAAAUGCAGCUGAGCUUAGAAAAGUGAUUCCAGAAUCCUGAACUAUUUUGGCGUAGUUGCUGUGGCAAAUUGCACAAUGCCCCACACUUACUACUCUGACUUAGGUGCUUACACCAGUUGCUCUGUGUUCAAUACUUCAGGAUUGCAAUCUGAGGAUAUACGUAAAGAAGAUAAACAUAAUACUUGGAAGGUGUAUUAUCAACUGAGAAUGUGAACAUCUUGCUCUCGUUAUGGGGGUUAUUGAAGGUGUAAUCUUCAAAAUCACAACUUUGGCUGAUUGCUAAAAAUAUUUCAUCACAGAUAGUGCCAUGGACCAGAAAUACCCAUGAUCUUCCUUCAACCUCAUGGAACUCAAUCAGCCUUGGUGAAACUUUUGAAUUCGUUGUUCAAAUUUAUGAUUCCUGUUCUUGUGGAUGGAUGGCACUUCUUUGACUUCCUUGCUCUUAAUAUUGAUGUCCUGCAAAACAAAUAAAGUCGAUAGUUUAGACAGAAUUCUAGUUCACUAAGGCUGGGGCUAAAUCUGGUGCAUCAAUGUGCAAAGAAUAAAUACCAAAACAAAAAGGGUUUCAAAAGUUCCUGAUUAAUAAUUACUGCUACUAUAUUUGUUUCGUUUAACAAGUUUGCUUUGAGUUGUGACAUUGCAGUAGACAUGGAAUCCGGUGCAAUGGUAGUAAAGCAGAGUAUGUAGAUGUCGCAACUCGAAUAUUUGUUGCUUGAUUAGUUUUCUUCUUUCUUUUGUUGCUAACAAAAAGGGACAGGUGCCACUAUUAGUUUUUUCCACCCAGACUUCAUCUUAUUGCUUAUUGAAUACUGAAUGGUCGUCUCAAAUGUGAUAACGGAGUUACAAGCAAGGAGAUCCACACAUCUUUUGUAUCAAACAAUCUUGUAAGAGAAGCAAAUAAGGAUGCUAUUUUUAUGCAAAGAUGACAAAAGCAGCAGUCUCAGUGUAAAAGUUUAUGGAAACAGUCGAUACUGUUGGCAGGGCAUUCAUCACCUGGUUAAUGAUUAAGUACUUAAUUUGCAAAGAUGUGGCAUGUAUAGAAUAAAAGGCUGUCAAGUUCAGUAAAAGUGACCACGGGGUAAAUCUUAUGUGAUGAUAUAACCUAAUAAUAUUAACAAUUCUAUAGUAAUUCCUAUUUGAAAAGAAAGGUAGCCACUGUAGCAUUGCAAUAAUCCUAGCACACAUCAACAAAUGAAUUCACAGAUUCAUAAUUUCAUUGAUAAUGUCCAUAUUGAUACUGCUAAAAAAUUAGGAUGUUCAAGGGUUCCAGUUAA